UGAGGUGUGGCUCAGUGGUAGAGCGUUUGCUUAGCAUGUGUGAGGCCCUGGGUUCGAUCCUCAGCACCACAU
rnacentral:tRNA from 1 species